rnacentral:rRNA from 1 species
GACGAACGCUGGCGGCGUGCCUAACACAUGCAAGUCGAGCGAGGAAUCUUCGGAUUCCUAGCGUCGGACGGGUGAGUAACACGUGGGCAACCUGCCUUGUAGAGGGGGAUAGCCUCACGCAAGGGAGAUUAAUACCGCAUAAUAUAUUACUUUCGCAUGAAAGAAAUAUUAAAGGAGUAAUCCGCUACAAGAUGGGCCCGCGGCGCAUUAGCUAGUUGGUGAGGUAAUGGCUCACCAAGGCGACGAUGCGUAGCCGACCUGAGAGGGUGAUCGGCCACAUUGGAACUGAGACACGGUCCAGACUCCUACGGGAGGCAGCAGUGGGGAAUAUUGCACAAUGGGGGAAACCCUGAUGCAGCAACGCCGCGUGAGUGAUGAAGGCCUUCGGGUUGUAAAACUCUGUCUUCUGGGACGAUAAUGACGGUACCAGAGGAGGAAGCCACGGCUAACUACGUGCCAGCCGCCGCUGUAAAAC